rnacentral:rRNA from 1 species
UACGUAGGGGGCGAGCGUUGUCCGGAGUUACUGGGCGUAAAGCGCACGCAGGCGGUCUGCUAAGUUUGGAGUGACAGUUGGUGGCUUAACUGCCAAAGUGCUUCGAAAACUGACAGACUUGAGGGCUUCAGAGGGACACGGAAUUCCGGGUGGAGUGGUGAAAUGCGGUAGAGAUCCGGAAGAACACCAGUGGCGAAGGCGGCCCGCUGGGCAGUGGCUGACGCUGAGGCGCGACAGCGUGGGGAGCAAACAGG